GCUAAGAUUGAAUGACUUUGGUAUUGUAAAGAUGAAGCCCAAGCAAAUAAGCAAAUACCAACAAUAUGAUUCCAAGUGAUGAAAUUACCACUCAUGUGAACAUAAGCAGGACCUUUUUGUUUAGAAAAAUGAAAAAAAAAGCAAAUCCUGGAGCUUCGGUUAAUACUGAUAGACCAACACCGAAAUAAAAAGAGAAACCAAAAAUGUAAUGGACUAUGUUCAUCUUGGAAUCCGAGUAGACACUUAAAAAUAUACAUUCACAUAACCGGCGACUCACUUGGACAAUAAUUAAGGCCAUUGAAAUCAUCACUGAUUCUGGGGUUACUAUUGGUUUACAAAGAGAAUGAAACAAUUAUGAUAACCAACAAAAAAAAAGAAAAGGUACACUUGAAGAACGGAGAAAGCUAGUAGUAAGUAAAAUGUUGUUGCAAACAGGUAAAAGUGGUAAAACCACCUAAAGUAACGGUGACCAGUUAACGGUAAAUGGCAGCAACAAGAAAAAAGAAAUGGAAAGGAAAAGGAUUGGAGAAAACAAGAAAAAAGAAAGUUAAAGAUCAGUCAAAAGAAAACGGAAUUUCUUCAUUUUAAUCUAUAAUUAUCAUUAUAAAUCAACUAUCAAGUGGAGUCAUUGGAAGAUAAAGUGAAAGCGGAAGUAAACCGGACACUGUGACAUAAUUUCCAAUCGAAAAUAUCAACUAACUCACUGGACACACACAAAGAAUGACCAAUGGGUUUCGAUUGUUUUUUUUUCUCUAAACAAAAGUUUAAUUGAAAGGAAAAUUGAUCUGGUCACUUGAUGGACAAAAUUGAAAGAUCGUCAAUCCUUAUGAAGUAUAACUGUCGUUUUUUAAAAGAGAAAUUGGAAUUAACCUUUUUGGAAGUUCAAUUUUAUUGCACUUUUUGAUUCCUUGCACAUGGAGUUCAGCAGCUUUUCCAUAUUUAAAUAUCCUUUGAACUCCUUGUGGAACAAUAUUGGAAUAGUAGAUAACAAGUAUUCCAAUUAGGGAAACACUGGCGGAAAAGGAAAUCCAUUCAAUCCAUAAAAGAUUCUGUGACACCGUUGUGGUUAUUAUGGCCUGGGUAUCCUUCACAAAAAGUACCAUCAAAAGUACCAUAAUCAUCACAAUUAAAAAGAGAACACGUUGAUACUUCAUUAUUUACUAUCUACUAAGUUAUUUAGUUAAAUAUAAUUUGGUCAAGUUAAAGAUGAGAAGAGAGAGAGAGGGAAAAAAGAGAAAGAGAGAGAGAACUGGAAGAUAUCAGUAGCACCGAAGUAGCGUCCAAACACUAAAAAAGAGGAAAAAGAAAAAGAAAACGAGAAGCUAAGCUUGUUUUUCUUUCUUUCUUCGUCUUCUUUUCUUCUCUUUCUGAAAAUCGUGUAAAGAUGUGGAUUCGAAAACAACAUCAACAACAAAACUCCAACAACGGCAACAGGAGCACCAAAAGAAUCAAUAACAACAACAUAACAACAUAACCCAAACCACCGCACGAACAACAAAAAGUGAAUCUGAAAAGCUUUAGACCCUCAGUGAAACAACCAACAAGCUACCGUACUGAUAACAAAAAUUUCAAGCUUCGGAAAUAAGUUAAUCAUCAUCUCCAUCAUCUUCAUCUUCAUCUUCAUCUUCAUCAUCAUCAUGAAAGGAAGAAGAAAAAAACACAAUUCAAACGAUAACAAAUUGGUUCACAUGUAUUGGUACUUUUAAAAUUAUAUUUAUAAGUUUGGCGAUUUAAAGGAACCGGUCAACUUG